rfam:Myotis brandtii contig238184, whole genome shotgun sequence.
GGCGGUUCUCGGGUGACACACUCUGGAAUUGGGCUCUCUUCUCUCUGGUUCCGGGGUGCGUCACCCGAGAACCACC